UACGUAGGUGGCAAGCGUUGUCCGGAAUCAUUGGGUGUAAAGGGUGCGUAGGCGGAAGCCUAAGUCGGAGGCGGAAUCUUGCCGCUUAACGGUAAAAUGGCCUUCGAUACUGGGUUUCUUGAGUUCGGAAGAGGUUAGUGGAAUUCGUGGUGUAGCGGUGAAAGGCAUAGAUAUCACGAAGAACACCAGUGGCGAAGGCGACUGACUGGUCCGAUACUGACGCUGAGGCACGAGAGCGUGGAGAGCAAACAGG
rnacentral:misc_RNA from 1 species